rnacentral:lncRNA from 1 species
AUCAACUAACAAAACAAAUCUCUAAUUAAAUUAAACUAUUUCCUCCAUAUCCGUAUCUUCUUUGUCGACCAUGUUUUCUUUUUAUCAAUAUCUGAAUCGUCCUUAAUUCUUGGUAUAUGACGUUCACUCCUCAUUUGUAUGAUUUCUUGUGGAAAUCGAUAUAUUCUUGUUGUCGUUCUUGUUGUACAUUCCAUUCUUUUGAUACUCUAUAUUUUUUUUCGGCUUUCUAUUUAUGUACUUUGGAUAAUCAUCACAGCUCUGAAUAUCUAGUAAACUCUUUGACUUCACAGCAACAAUGAUCUCUGCUUUUGAUAAUUUAUCUUUCUCGGCUAUAUAACUGUGAUAUAGACCUGAUAAAAAUUACGUUAGUAGUCGUUAUUGAAUAUAUAUAAGCAAUUUACAUUUUGUGUUAGUAGCACUUACAAUCGAAUGGUUUACCACGUUCCUUGUU